UGACUGGGGCACCAGCUGUCACCCAGGAGAGGAGACCCAGUUCUUGUUCCCAGCUGAAUGGUCAGCAGUUGCUACAGAGGCAUCUACUAAAUUAACAAUGGAUUAAAGGCACAGAGACCUGCCUCAGUCUUUGGAUCUAAAAGGAAGAAGUAAGUACACAAGUGUGCUUGGAAUUAAAUGAGGGCUCGUGGUUCUUAGCCAGAGGCCACUUCAGGCACCUAGGAGGACAGAACUAGGAUUCAAGUUUUCUAAAGAGCCAGCCAUGCAGUCAGAUACAAUGAAGGGGAAUAUACAUACAUGCCCUUAAGAGAUGCUGAUUGUAACCCCACUAUCUCCUGCUUGACCUUUCCAGACUACAGCCAAUCACAGUGUACACUGGAGGGCUACCAGCGCUUUUCCGACGUGAGAACCUGAGCUUGUCCUGGGCGAACUGCCAUCCCUUUCCUGCUCACUUCCCUCACUCCUCC
rnacentral:lncRNA from 1 species